UUUUAUUUUCUUCCUAUUGCUUAUGUGUAUUUUCUAUUUUUAAACCAUAAACGUGUAUUAUGCCUACAAUAAAAAAUGCAAUAAAAGUUAUUUUAUAAAACAGAACCCAUGAGACAUAUGUAAGAAGGGAAAAACUCAUUUUCUUUAUUAUUGCUUACAAUGUAAAAAAGAGAUAUGGCCUCUGUAAAAGUCAGGUUGGGGACUAAAACCUUCCACAAAAUGAAUAAAUGAAGAGAAUAAAUUAUCUGUAAUUGUCUCCCUUGUAUUUCCUAUUAGGGCCGCUUCUCUGGAUUUAACAGACAUGGGGAAAAAAAAACCAGCGGAUGGUACAGCUUUUCACUUUGCUAACUGGCUGGGAAUAUGAAUUAAUGUCACCACUGUCGAAUAUCUUCUUCCAUUUUGCUUCAGGCCACCACUUCCAACAGGCUCUCCCUUUAAGAUUCUUCAAAGAACGUAAACGACCAGCAUUCCCAGUACAACUGGACAUACCAAAGGUCAUCUGCUUUCAGAUCUGAUAUGUUUUUGUUGCAUAGAAGUGACAUCUGAAAACAUGAACCCGAAAAAUCACGAGCAGCUCAGUCAUAAUUGGGAUAUAAUGGUCCACCUCUCUUCUAAUUCUCCUCGCCAAGAAAUAAAGUAAUGGUAAUAUUAAAUAGUUUAAUUAAUGUGCUUUCAAAACAAAUCAGCAUGUGUGAUUACUUCAUGGGAGCCAGAAAUUUACCUUUCUUCCACAGGGCCACCUUUGGAGAAAGUGCAAAUUACAAGGGCAAAUGCAACCUCUGGGUGUAUGAGCUUCAAAAUAUUAAAGGCUGGUCUAGGGGCCCUCCAGCACUGUAGACAUACCAAUUUACAAAUAAUUGGCACGCUAAUUACAAAGCAUUCCUCUCCACUCAAUAAAGCAGGCCCAUUAGGGCCUCUGCUAGAUCAUAACUCUCAGUCCUAAUCAAGUUUCUGCAUUGUUUCAAAGACCAUGAAACAAAGCGCCUUCAACACAGUCUGUAAGUCAUUCUUGCACUCAAUGUGGGACUGGACACCCUCCCGUGUAAUCCCACGAGGGGGACUCCAAUGAGCCGCUGCCUCACUGGACAUGUUCUCCCCGCCCCCCUUUCAAAUUGUUUUCUCUCUCCUGAU